rnacentral:sRNA from 18 species
CCCCGUAUAAUAAGAUGAUGGUAUUGGAAACAACCAUAACGCUUCUAAAGGCGUAGGACAUCUAACCUAUACGGGUUU